CAGCAGUAGCCGCGGGAAAACGGAGGGUGCGAGCGUUAAUCGGAAUUACUGGGCGUAAAGCGUGCGCAGGCGGUUCGUUAAGACAGAUGUGAAAUCCCCGGGCUUAACCUGGGAACUGCAUUUGUGACUGGCGAGCUAAAGUAUGGCAGAGGGGGGUAGAAUUCCACGUGUAGCAGUGAAAUGCGUAGAUAUGCGGAGGAACACCGAUGGUGAAGGCAAUCCCCUGGACCUGUACUGACGCUCAUGCACGAAAGCGUGGGGAGCAAACAGGAUUAGAUACCCCCGUAGUCCCUGUCUCUUAUAC
rnacentral:rRNA from 1 species